AAGCUCUUCCUCAAAAUUUAUUAGUGCUGAUAUACUUCUUAUCAAAUAAUAUGUUGGUACAAAAAAUAAAUUUGGUAGAAGAGCUU
ensembl:miRNA cin-mir-4216 cin-mir-4216